GACGAACGCUGGCGGCGUGCUUAACACAUGCAAGUCGAACGGAAAGGCCUGCUUUCCCUUGUGGAUUGCGGGUACUCGAGUGGCGAACGGGUGAGUAACACGUGAGUGAUCUGCCCCCAACUUGGGUAUAAGCCUGGGAAACUGGGUCUAAUUCCCGAUAGGACUGCAGGGUGGUGCCUGUGGUGGAAAACGAUUUUCUAGUGGUUGGGGAUGAGCUCGCGGCCUAUCAGCUUGUUGGUGGGGUAAUGGCCUACCAAGGCGGCGACGGGUAGGCGGCCUGGGAGGGUGGACGGCCACAUUGGGACUGCGAUACGGCCCAGACUCCUACGGGAGGCAGCAGUGGGGAAUAUUGCACAAUGGGCGGAAGCCUGAUGCAGCGACGCCGCGUGGGGGAUGACGGCCUUCGGGUUGUAAACUCCUUUCGACCGCGAGGAAGCCACCUGGUUGGAAGGGUGGUGACGGUAGUGGUAGAAGAAGCACCGGCUAACUACGUG
rnacentral:rRNA from 1 species